UUGAGUAAGUAUUUAUUUAAAUCCAAGAGCGACUUACUCACUGUGGGCGAGAAUCCUAUAUCCCUAGUGGAGGAUCAUUGGAGUAUAUAGAUACGAGUCAUUAUAGAAUUACGAGCAUUAUAUAUAUAUAUAUAUAUAACUAACUCCGACAUUUAUGGGGGCUUCGUCACGGUCCUGUGGUUCUGAUUGUCACAAGAGGAUUGAUUUCUCAGCUCUCGGUGUUUAAAGCGUCAGACUGACCAGAGAACCAGAUCUGUUUCAGUAGUUUUAGACACUGCUAAAGGACAUACAAAUAAUAUUUUAGGAAAGAUCUUGUUUCCAUAUGUUAAAGUCAAUGUUUUCAGUAAUGUUAGUAUGCAUUUAAAGUUUUAGAUGCACUAUAAUUACUUUUCUUAAUUUUUUUUUCUUUUCUUAAUAGAAGAUAUAACACAAUGACAUAAAGUGAUUAUGAGACCAGUUUAUCUCUUUAACAGCUGUUCAACCUCGAGGACACAGAUAUCUGUCAGUCUGCAAGAGAGAUCGGACAUCUCUAAAGAAGUUUAUGUUUGUUUGUUUCAUUCUUCUUAUUCUGCCUUUAUUUGUUUUAACUUUCUAUUGUUAAUUAAUAUUCCUUUUCUGUAGUUUUAUUUUAUUUUAUAUAACCAAAUCUUCCACGUCUAACAAUUUUUUUUUUCCUGUAUAUGUCUCAUUUCUAAUAUUCUAUACAGUCUUGUCAAACAUUAAUAAUUCCUAUAGUGUCACUAAUUUAUUUUCUUUCUUGUUGAAUGUUAACUAACAUGCAUGAAUGAAUGUAUCCUUACUAAUAUGACUAACAAUUUGUUUCCUAACACUCAUUUCACCUAAGACAGCAAAUAAAAUACAAAGAAAUGCAGAAGACUUAAAAUUUUUGCCAUCUCAUACAAUUUUUUUUUUUUUUCAAACCUUAUACACUCAUAUUAUACAGUACAUGGCUUACUAGGACAUUUUUGCAUAACUAUUCCCUUAUAAUAAUAUUUUUUGUGUUAUAUAGGAUAUUUGAUCACUUCUAGUAUGAUCUAAAGUCUGAUAUCUAAAAAAUGUUUGUUUUGUACUUCAAUCAAUAUAUACAUGCGGUGUAUCUCAUAGUUAUCCAUGUAUCACUUGAUACUUGACUUCUAGACCAUGUGGUUGGGUGACAGGUCAUGUUGUAUAAGUUUACUCUCAAGUAACUUGUAUAUUAUUAUUAGUGUAUCAUCGCAUUGCAUUUAUUAAUUUAGUACAACUUUUAAAACACUUUUAAUAAUGUUUGUUGUAACUGUAUAUCAUCUUUAAUACCAUUCAUAAUUCAACUGGAUAAACUAGUUACAUCUGCAUAUAUCAAAUGUUAUAUUUAUAUAAGUUCAAUCUUACUAUGCAGACAUAAUCUUCAUAGUAGAAAUGAUUAAUGCUAAGGGUUAAUUGAUAUCAUUGACCACAAGUCACUGUGAAACACAAAUAGGACAUUAUCAGGGAAGUGCUAACAACUGCUCCUAGUUAUAAAAAUAUACUGGUAAAAACAAAAAUCCUGGUUUUCUCAGCAUUUACUUUGGGUAAAAUGACAUGUUUGUAUUUGUGUAUAUUUAUGCAUGCUAUGUUUUUAUAAAAAAAAAAAAAAAAAAAAAAUACCAGACAGACUAUAUAUUAAUUAAUUGAUGGAUAUUAUUAAGUUUUCAAAUGUUUGUUAUUACAUUUCUUAAUAGUGCAUAUACCUUGCCUAUAGACCCCAAUCAUCAUCCUGUUUUGAUUUAAAAUAUUCCUUUAUCUGUGAGCUCAUAUUCUAUAUCUUUAUUUCUUUGUAGAUAACUCCUUUACUUACUUUCUUCUAUUCCUGGCUGAAUCUUUUAACUGGCACAUGGCACAUUUGUUUAACUAUAUACCAGACAGAUUCAACAGCUGAAUAAUCAAUUGCUGUAUAAUGGCUACAUAUGAGAAUAUAUCAGUGGUGAAGCACACAGACGCACCGAUGCACAGACGCAAAAAUUUAUUGCACCAACUCUGCUAUGGACUCUCUUCACCAUUGCACAUACUAAAGUGACAUCUUGGACCAAUGCUUAAACAUACUUUAUCAAAGACAUUUCUGCGCUGAUAUUCUUCAAUGCACCAUACCAUCAUGGGCUAAGCUUAGUCCUCAGUGGUGCUGGAUCAUCCGGAUAUUAAAUGGACUAUGGAUUUCUCCAUUUUACCUAUAAAAUGACUUAUGUGCUGAUAAUAAUGUGAAAUAAGUCCACUGUGAUUGUAGCAUUUUGUAUUUGUCUGGUAGAGCAAUUUUUUUUUCUCUUUUUUAUAUAUGUAUUUUUGUUUUCAGUCAA